ACACCCUCAACCUUCUUGGUUUCUUGACUAGGAAGGCUUGGACUCUGGAGGUUUUCCUUGCUGGCCUCUUUUUGAAGCCAGCUCCUCCUAAAUGAAUUAGUGGGGUUCGCUUUGCCGAUCCUUGACGUGAUAAGUAUGCUUCUACGUCUUGGGUUUUGCACUGUCCCACUUCCAAUGGUCUUUGAAUGAAGACAAUGUAAGAGUUGCAUCGCGAUUCUUACUCAGCGA
rnacentral:misc_RNA from 1 species